rnacentral:rRNA from 1 species
GACGAACGCUGGCGGCGUGCUUAACACAUGCAAGUCGAGCGGUAAGGCCCUUUCGGGGGUACACGAGCGGCGAACGGGUGAGUAACACGUGGGUGACCUGCCCUUAGCUCUGGGAUAAGCCUGGGAAACGUGGGUCUAAUACCGGAUAUGACUCCAUGACGCAUGUUGUGGGGUGGAAANCCUUGUGCGGCUAGGGAUGGGCCCGCGGCCUAUCAGCUUGUUGGUGGGGGUGAUGGCCUACCAAGGCGACGACGGGUAGCCGGCCUGAGAGGGCGACCGGCCACACUGGGACUGAGACACGGCCCAGACUCCUACGGGAGGGCAGCAGUGGGGAAUCUUGCGCAAUGGGCGAAAGCCUGACGCA